rnacentral:lncRNA from 1 species
GAUGAACUAUUCAGAAAUGGAUAGGACACUCGGAUAAUCACACAUAUAUUGUACAAUGCCAACGUCCCUGACGUGGUCUUACAUGAAAUCACAUAUCGAUGCCACUGUCCAAAAUAGGGUCUUACUCGCACACAUAUAUCGGAGCCACAUAUUGAUGCCAUGCUCUUACUCGCACAUCACAUAUCGGAAUCCUAUGUCAUGACAUAUAUAUCCUAGCUAUUCCUAAGGUUCAUACGGG